GGGGAAAUGGCGCAGCGGUAGCGCGUCUGCUUUGCAUUGCCCUUCCAGCAGUUCGAAGUGCAGAAGGUCUGGGGUUCGAGACCCCAUUUCUCCA